rnacentral:piRNA from 1 species
UGUCCUGCUCUUUUUAUUUCC